ACAGCAGUCGCCGCGGGAAUACAGAGGGUGCGAGCGUUAAUCGGAUUUACUGGGCGUAAAGCGUGCGUAGGCGGCUUCUUAAGUCGGAUGUGAAAUCCCUGAGCUUAACUUAGGAAUUGCAUUCGAUACUGGGAAGCUAGAGUAUGGGAGAGGAUGGUAGAAUUCCAGGUGUAGCGGUGAAAUGCGUAGAGAUCUGGAGGAAUACCGAUGGCGAAGGCAGCCAUCUGGCCUAAUACUGACGCUGAGGUACGAAAGCAUGGGGAGCAAACAGGAUUAGAUACCCGGGUAGUCCCUGUCUCUUAUAA
rnacentral:rRNA from 1 species